rnacentral:misc_RNA from 1 species
GAAAUGCGAUAAGUAAUGUGAAUUGCAGAAUUCAAUGAAUCAUCGAAUCUUUGAACGCACAUUGCGCCCCCUGGUAUUCCGGGGGGCAUGCCUGUUCGAGCGUCAUUUCACCACUCAAGCCUCGCUUGGUAUUGGGCGACGCGGUCCGCCGCGCGCCUCAAAUCGACCGGCUGGGUCUUCUGUCCCCUCAGCGUUGUGGAAACUAUUCGCUAAAGGGUGCCACGGGAGGCCACGCCGCAAAACAAACCCAUUUCUAAGGUUGACCUCGGAUCAGGUAGGGAUACCCGCUGAACUUAAGC